rnacentral:rRNA from 1 species
UACGUAGGGGGCAAGCGUUGUCCGGAUUUAUUGGGCGUAAAGCGCGUGUAGGCGGUUUCUUAAGUCUGAUGUGAAAGCCCGAGGCUCAACCUCGGAACUGCCUUCGAUACUGCGGGUCUCGAGUCCGGGAGAGGUGAGUGGAAUUCCUAGUGUAGAGGUGAAAUUCGUAGAUAUUAGGAAGAACACCAGUGGCGAAGGCGGCUCACUGGCCCGGUACUGACGCUGAGGCGCGAAAGCGUGGGGAGCAAACAGG